AAAAAUCAACCACUUGGAUUAUUUCAUUAAAAUAUUGCAUGUUUAAAUAUAUAAGCAGGUAGAAAUUAAAAAUGGCCUGUGAGUCCUUUCAACUUGAACAUUUUAGCCUGUGCGGCAUAAAGUUUGGACACCCCUGAUCCAAGUUGAUUUUGUGCUGCAGUGCCAGCUGAAAUUCAUAUUAUAUUGAUAAAAACUCCUUCCAUAUGCAUACACCACACUGGUCGUGAUCGCCAAAGACGAGCCUUUCAGCAGCACCAUAUUUAGUUGUUGGCAUCUCUGGUAAAACCGCGUGUAAAUCCUUAAAUUGUGUGGUUGGUUGGUUUUUCCCUGUUUUGAAGAGCGGCUUACAGAAACGUGCCUCUGUGUCGCAGCCAGUUUAUACCCCAGAGAAUCAUAAAUUACUAAUUAAAAUGUUCCUGAUCAACUUAUAAAGUCUAAAUGACAAAACUGCUUCAGUUUACAGGAAUCCUUAGAAAUUUAAUAAAUGUGUCACCAAAAAAAAUAAAUACUUAUAUGUAUAUUUUUUUGUAAAAUGAAUGGUUUCAUUCUUUUUGAAGCUGUCCAAAAGUCAGAACUUUGGUGGGUUUAUUUUCAGGCUCUCUACGCAUCUACUUCAAUAAGCGUGUCAAUAGGUGUGAACGGGCAAGUAUCAGCUGGCGGUUAUGAAUCGUGUCAACCUCAGUGAAUUGUGCUCGAGAUCUCUGCCUGUAAUUGGCAUGUGGAUGGAUGAACUGUUGCAGCACCCUCAUUUUGCUUCUUUUUUUAUUUUUGCUCCUUUAUCUCUUCUGUAAUAUUUGCUUACGUUUAGUCUUCAUUGAUUUGUAGGUGUUCGUGUGUUGUUUUCUUUAUUUCGUUUAGGCCUUAGUUAUUGAGCAAACCUCUCACAGUAUUUUAGCACAGCAUUAAUUUACUCAGUACCACCAGUGAUAUCAUAAGCUCUUCACAAAUGUGGUUUUUUUUUUUUUUAAUACAUGUGUGUUCAUUGACCCUUAUUCCAGAUGGCGAAACCUCAAACUCCUCAACUUAUAAGCUCUCCUUAAUGUAGGUGAGUGAGUAGCUGACGUGUCUAAUACAGCGAAAAACCUCACAAAUAACAAUGCAUUCCUUUGACUAUAACUUAUGUACAGCUAUUUUGUAUUAUUUUAUAUCAUGUCCUUCUGUAACUGUCCGGUGCACAGACAAUCGCUAUACACAUGUCAAUAAACCAGAUUAAAAAGAAAAC